UACGUAGGGCGCAAGCGUUGUCCGGAAUUAUUGGGCGUAAAGAGCUCGUAGGCGGCUUGUCACGUCGGGUGUGAAAGCCCGGGGCUUAACCCCGGGUCUGCAUUCGAUACGGGCAGGCUAGAGUGUGGUAGGGGAGAUCGGAAUUCCUGGUGUAGCGGUGAAAUGCGCAGAUAUCAGGAGGAACACCGGUGGCGAAGGCGGAUCUCUGGGCCAUUACUGACGCUGAGGCGCGAAAGCCAGGGGAGCGAACGGG
rnacentral:rRNA from 1 species